rnacentral:misc_RNA from 1 species
GUUCGAGCGUCAUUACACCCCUCAAGCCUGGCUUGGUGUUGGGCCCCGCUGCUCACGUAGCGGGCCUUAAAAUUAGUGGCGGUGCGUCUGGCUCUAAGCGUAGUAAUACUUCUCGCUAUAGGGUCCAGUCGUUUACCCGCCAGAACCCCCAACUUUCUUAGGUUGACCUCGGAUCAGGUAGGGAUACCCGCUGAACUUAA